GCGAUGAACCAGACCGCCGCUUUGAGUUUAUCAGAAGGGUGAAUUCAGGGAGGAAAGUCCGGGCUCCGCAGGGCAUGAUGCCGGGUAACUCCCGGGGCUGGUUAUUUGGCAUUUUAAUGCCAGUGGCCGGAACAGAUAGCGCAACAGAAAGUAAACCGUCCGACCACUAGAGUCUUUGCCGGAUAUGCCUUACAUACCCGUAACUGUGCUUUAGUGGUCGGAUAAGGGUGAAACGGCGGGGUAAGAGCCCGCCUCGGCAGCGGCAACGCGGUCGGAAAGAUUUCAGUUUUGUUGGAAAAAAAUGGCAGGAGUUUCGCCGCAGGUGAAACUCCAAGCCGUUUUUCAGCAAGGCUGAAAAACGGCAAGCCUCAUCAGGAGCAAAGUUAAACAGUGCAGAAAAGGGCCUUUUCAAAGGCUCCUUUACGCCGGCUGCCCGCCGGUCAAGCACGGGUAGACUGCACAGAGAGAGCCGGAAACGGUUCUCCCAGACAGAUGACGGUACUUCAGCCGCAGGGCUGAAUACAGAACCCGGCUUAUGGUUCAUCGUUUUU
rnacentral:RNase_P_RNA from 1 species